rnacentral:rRNA from 1 species
AUACGUAGGGGGCGAGCGUUGUCCGGAAUGAUUGGGCGUAAAGGGCGCGUAGGCGGCUUUGCAAGUCAGUAGUGGAAGUCCAUUUUUCAAGGAUGGAAGUGCUACAGAAACUGCGGAGCUUGAGUGCAGGAGAGGUUAUCGGAAUUCCCGGUGUAGCGGUGAAAUGCGUAGAGAUCGGGAGGAACACCAGUGGCGAAGGCGGGUAACUGGACUGCAACUGACGCUGAGGCGCGAAAGUGUGGGGAGCAAACAGGAUUAGAUACCCUGGUAGUCCACACUGCAAACGAUGAAUGCUAGGUGUAGGAGGUAUCGACCCCUUCUGUGCCGCAGUAAACACAGUAAGCAUUCCGCCUGGGGAGUACGGUCGCAAGAUUAAAACUCAAAGGAAUUGACGGGG